rnacentral:ncRNA from 1 species
GUGGGAACGGCACGGCUGCAAAUCUGACCCGUCGCGCGGUUCGCGCGACUCGAGAUUGCAGUAGUGC